AACAAAAACAUGUCCUCUUGUUUAUAUUUAUUUGAGGUUUAACCUGCCCACUGAAUUUUUAUAUUUUAAAUGGCCGCAGUAAUUUGACUGUGCAAAGGUAGCAUAAUCAUUAGUUUUUUAAUUGAAAGCUUGUAUGAAAGGUUGGACGAAGUAUAAUCUGUCUUUAUUUAAUUUAUUGUAGAGUUUAAUUUUUAAGUUAAAAAGCUUAAAUAUUUAUAAAAGACGAGAAGACCCUAUAAAUCUUUAUAUUAUUUUAAAUUAUUUUAAUUAGGAUUAUUUAAUUUAUAAUUUUUAUUAAUAUUUUAUUGGGGUAAUAGAGUAAUUAAAUUAAUUUAUUUUGGUUUUUUACAUUUAUUUAUGGUUUUAUGAUCCAAUAAGUUUUGAUUAUAUGAUUAAGUUACUUUAGGGAUAACAGCGUAAUUUUUUUAAAGAGUUCAUAUCGAUAAAAAAGUUUGCGACCUCGAUGUUG
rnacentral:rRNA from 1 species